rnacentral:rRNA from 1 species
GAUGAACGCUGGCGGCGUGCCUAAUACAUGCAAGUCGAGCGAACAGAUGAGGAGCUUGCUCCUCUGACGUUAGCGGCGGACGGGUGAGUAACACGUGGAUAACCUACCUAUAAGACUGGGAUAACUUCGGGAAACCGGGGCUAAUACCGGAUAAUAUAUUGAACCGCAUGGUUCAAUAGUGAAAGACGGUUUUGCUGUCACUUAUAGAUGGAUCCGCGCCGCAUUAGCUAGUUGGUAAGGUAACGGCUUACCAAGGCAACGAUGCGUAGCCGACCUGAGAGGGUGAUCGGCCACACUGGAGCUGAGACACGGUCCAGACUCCUACGGGAGGCAGCAGUAGGGAAUCUUCCGCAAUGGGCGAAAGCCUGACGGAGCAACGCCGCGUGAGUGAUGAAGGUCUUCGGAUCGUAAAACUCUGUUAUUAGGGAAGAACAAAUGUGUAAGUAACUAUGCACGUCUUGACGGUACCUAAUCAGAAAGCCACGGCUAACUACGUG